UUACGGCCAUAUCACGUUGAAGCACCGGUUCUCGUACGAUCACCGAAGUUAAGCAAAGUUGAGCCCGGUUAGUACUUAGACGAGUAACGGCUUGGGAAUAUCGGGUUCUGUAA